CCACAAAGCAAAACAAAACAAAGCUAUAUUUGCAUCAAAACUUUGACAAUUGGACGAAAUAGGAGGCAAGUCCCAUCUCCGGCAGACCGGAGUCUAUUCCUGGUGGAUUAGGAUCGGCUCAUCUCCCCGCCCAAGAAACACUAAAGGCCGAUCUCAGACCGUCGCCCAAAUGAAAAGCGGUCAAAGCGGCAACAACCGAAGGGAAAUUUUUAGACGCUUAAUACUACAAGUGUCAGGCAAAAAUCGCCGCACGGCACUAAAUUGGAGGCGUUUGCCAACCGGGUCGCCUAAUCCUGAGGAGCUCCAAGGGAAGAGAAGGGACGUGCUGAAAAUGUAGUUGGACGCGCGGCCAGGGUUCGGAAUUAAGCCUCUAAUUUUAGAUUAGAUUUUACAAGUUCCUCGUCGGAUGUGGUUGAAACUGCAGCCAGAAUGGAAAAAUCGCUAGCGGCGAAAACCAGCGCGAGUCCGCACGGAGCCAAUUGGUCCGGAGGAUGGCGCAGCGUCCGCGUAAGA